rnacentral:rRNA from 1 species
UACGGGGGGGGCAAGCGUUGUUCGGAAUUACUGGGCGUAAAGGGCUCGUAGGCGGCCAACUAAGUCGGACGUGAAAUCCCCAGGCUCAACCUGGGAACUGCGUCCGAUACUGGAUGGCUUGAAUCCGGGAGAGGGAUGCGGAAUUCCAGGUGUAGCGGUGAAAUGCGUAGAUAUCUGGAGGAACACCGGUGGCGAAGGCAGCAUCCUGGACCGGCAUUGACGCUGAGGCGCGAAAGCCAGGGGAGCAAACGGG